AGGGAAUCUUCGGCAAUGGACGGAAGGCUGACCGAGCAACGCGCGUGAGUNAAGAAGGUUUUCGGAUCGUAAAGCUCUGUUGUAAGAGAAGAACGAGUGUGAGAGUGGAAAGUUCACACUGUGACGGUAUCUUACCAGAAAGGGACGGCUAACUACGUGCCAGCAGCCGCGGUAAUACGUAGGUCCCGAGCGUUGUCCGGAUUUAUUGGGCGUAAAGCGAGCGCAGGCGGGUUAGAUAAGUCUGAAGUUAAAGGCUGUGGCUUAACCAUAGUACGCUUUGGAAACUGUUUAACUUGAGUGCAAGAGGGGAGAGUGGAAUUCCAUGUGUAGCGGUGAAAUGCGUAGAUAUAUGGAGGAACACCGGUGGCGAAAGCGGCUCUCUGGCUUGUAACUGACGCUGAGGCUCGAAAGCGUGGGGAGCAAACAGGAUUAGAUACCCUGGUAGUCCACGCCGUANCGAUGAGUGCNAGGUGUNAGACCCUUUCCGGGGUUUAGUGCCGCAGCUAANCAUUAAGCACUCCGCCUGGNGAGUACGACCGCNAGUUG
rnacentral:rRNA from 1 species